UACGUAGGGGGCUAGCGUUGUCCGGAAUCAUUGGGCGUAAAGCGCGUGUAGGCGGUCCGGUAAGUCCGCUGUGAAAGUCGAGGGCUCAACCCUCGAAUGCCGGUGGAUACUGUCGGGCUAGAGUCCGGAAGGGGCGAGUGGAAUUCCUGGUGUAGCGGUGAAAUGCGCAGAUAUCAGGAGGAACACCAAUGGCGAAGGCAGCUCGCUGGAACGGUACUGACGCUGGAGGCGACGAAAGCGUGGGGAGCAAACAGG
rnacentral:rRNA from 1 species